UACGUAGGGGGCAAGCGUUGUCCGGAAUUAUUGGGCGUAAAGAGCGUGUAGGCGGUCCGGUAAGUCAGCUGUGAAAGUCAAGGGCUCAACCCUUGAAUGCCGGUUGAUACUGUCGGGCUAGAGUCCGGAAGAGGCGAGUGGAAUUCCCGGUGUAGCGGUGAAAUGCGCAGAUAUCAGGAGGAACACCGGUGGCGAAGGCGGGUCUCUGGGCCGGAACUGACGCUGAGGAGCGAAAGCGUGGGGAGCGAACAGG
rnacentral:rRNA from 1 species